AGCGAACGCUGGCGGCAGGCCUAACACAUGCAAGUCGAACGAAGCCUUCGGGCUUAGUGGCGGACGGGUGAGUAACACGUGGGAACGUACCUUUUGGUUCGGAACAACUCAGGGAAACUUGAGCUAAUACCGGAUGAGCCCUUAGGGGGAAAGAUUUAUCGCCGAAAGAGCGGCCCGCGUUAGAUUAGCUAGUUGGUGAGGUGCAGGCUCACCAAGGCAACGAUCUAUAGCUGGUCUGAGAGGAUGAUCAGCCACACUGGGACUGAGACACGGCCCAGACUCCUACGGGAGGCAGCAGUGGGGAAUCUUGCGCAAUGGGCGAAAGCCUGACGCAGCCAUGCCGCGUGAAUGAUGAAGGUCUUAGGAUUGUAAAAUUCUUUUACCAGGGACGAUAAUGACGGUACCUGGAGAAAAAGCCCCGGCUAACUUCGUGCCAGCAGCCGCGGUAACAC
rnacentral:rRNA from 1 species